AUACAACCAAUAGAGAAAUAGGUCAAAUAUGGCGACAAUGAUCAACUUGCUCUUCUUCUACUAAAUUAAAGAUUCGUAUGGAGAUUCUGUCGAUAUAAUCAUAUAUUUAUAUCUGCUCUUUCUUAAAAUGGAGACGUCCAUCUCUGAGACAACAAAAACGUAAAUAAAUGGAAGAUAAAAGCAAGAAAGACAACCCUAAUAAAGGAGUCAGGACUAAGACUAGUAAUUAUUUCCCCUUAUUUCAUGAUUGUCGAAUGUAGUGCGAGUUAUAAAUAGACAAUUUUUCCCUUAAUUUUUUUCUCCCCUCUUCCUGCAUUUUUGGGUUGACUUUUUGGUCUAGAAUUGGAGAAAAGGGAUCAAAUUUGCAAUUUCAUAGCAGUUUUGGGUAAUACUGAUGAUAUUACACCGGUGGGAUAGGGAGUGUAAAGUGUCUUUCUGAAGAGCAAUCAUUGUGUCGGAAGUGAGAUUUUCACCCCUGUCAACUUCAAAUCCGUGUAGCAAAAAAUCUAAACGGUCAACCCCCUACAAAAUUAUGAUGAGGAGAUUGCCAAAUGUUGUCCCCAUUGUGCCUAUAAAGAUUGGAACCAACGGAAUGUUGAGCAAAAAGCUACAGCCUGUGAUGUUACAGUCAUUUAACAUUGAAGUCAAUGGGCAAAUAAUUGCUAGUCUGACUCCUGAUGAUAAAGAAGCAUGGCCGACUCGGGAUGUUGAUAUUUUUUCAACGGCUUAUUUCCUGAAGUUUUGAAUGGAAAGUGUCAGAAAUGGUGCCAGGGCAAUGUUUCAUAGAGUGGAAUGAUUGACCUCAACACAAGUAUUAAAAAAAAAAGAAGCAAAACAGGUCUACAUCUCAAUACCUGAUCUCUUCCUGGACUGGCUUUAGGAGAACGAUGAUGAAUAUCAAUUUCAUCCCUGAUCUCUAUGACACCUGUGGUGGAAGUGGAGGGCAAAUCGUAAUCAGUUUGGGUUCCAGCCCCGAGGACCUCUGUAAACUUUGCUUUUUGGUGAUGACUUAAUUUCCGAGCUUGAAAAGGACGCUUGUGUGUUUAUCAUGGCCUCUCAUAUUGGAAGAUAACAUUAAUGGCUUGUGUGUUGAUCGACGGUUGUGCAUAUCUCUUGGUCAGGAACGUUGUAGGCACCAUCGCCAUUGUAAAUCAUUUGACAGGCCCGAGUGAACGGGGCGACCUAUGAUUGGUCAGCAAUGUAUCAGAUUCCAUACCGGGGGGUGGGGAUGAAAAAACUGUUGUGUUACAUAAUCAGAUUAUUUCAACUUACUUAUCCUGUGGAAAUACAGCUAUAUAGGAGAUAUUUUGAAAUUCAUAGGCACAGCAUGUUUCAACAUUUUAGAUUUGACCACAAUCUGGCACUUGAAACUAUGUUAACAGAGAAAAACUGUGUGGUUUUCGAUGAAAGUGUUAAAAGUCUAAUAUUGCAUCAUGAUUACUGUAUUUUCGUGUUUGAUUUAUAUUGAAUUCAUCUCAUCUUUUUGAAGAAUGCAUUUAUGUUCAAAAAUAAAAAUGUUCUGUGGAAUUCAAAAUUCAUGUGCUUUUAAAUUAUCAGAUUCCAAACUGGGGGGUAGGGAUGAAAAAGCUGUUGUAGUGUUACAUAAUCAGAUUAUUUCAACUUACUUAUCCUAUGGAAAUACAGCUAUAUAGGAGAUAUUUUAAAAUUGAUAGGCACUGCAUGUUUCAACAUAUUAGAUUUGACCACAAUUUGGCACUUGAAACUACGUUAACAGAGAAAAACUGUGUGGUUUUCGAUGAAAGUGUUAAAAAGUCUAAUAUUGCAUCAUGAUUACUGUUUUAAAGUAUUUUCGUGUUUGAUUUAUAUUGAAUUGUAUUUAGAAAACGGAGGAAACCGAAUGACCCAGCGAAAAAACUCAAGAGAUUGGACAGGAGACUCUACUCCUUGAAAUUGAAACCAUGCCCUUUAACACAAUGACAGACCCUGUGAUUUCAUGCGCAUGCAUUACCUACUAGACCAUUCCCCCCAGCCCCACCCCAUAUCGAAUAAAAGUAUGACUUAUUUCAAAUAUGAUAUUUACAUAUAAAGAAAGUAGAGAGACUUCAAUCUUACUAGAAAAAUACUAGAUUACCUGAAAUGAAAUGGGGUUUAAAGACAACGUCCUACUGGUCAGCUCCGACUGGUCUAAUGCAUUGUGCUAAGUGAAAAUGUUUGUCUGGGCAGCGACACUAUGGCCUACUCUCAUACCGAAUUCAAACUGCCAAGAGAACUUUUAUGUGUACGCCAAUGUGUACAUUGGAUCUCAGGGGAAACCACUCUGCAAAAUCAAGAUGAGCUUUCUCGGUCAACCCCAAGAGAUAACCUGUGGCCUCCAUGCUAAUGUGCCAGCACCUAAUUUACUCAGUCACCAUGGCCGUCUUCUAAUUACUGCGACAGUGAAACCAUGUGACAAACAAGGAUUAUUAAGAUAGACUUUUACGGCUUGGUAGUUCCUUGGGAUUAAAACUUUUGAUACAUAUAGAUACAUUAGUUUCAAUUUCAUAUCACACAGUUUGUAUAUAUGGUAAGGUAGCUUUAAUCGUAAAUUACAUAUCAUGUAUUUAUUUUUUCAGUUUCAAUAUUGGAUGUAUAUGCAAAUCACCCAGAAAAAGAUCAUGUAAUAACAAAAGAAAUUAUAAAAAAAAAAGGAAGAAGAAAUGGCUGGAAAAAAUGAUGAUAGAGCAGCUUUUUCUUGUUACCCACCUCGGAAGAUCAAGUUGGAAAGGGCUAUUGAUAUUGUGGAGACGUUUUCUCACAGAUCUUGCUUAUCAGACAAAGACUAUGCUGGAACACCAUUGAAAGAGUAUUUGCUGUAUGAUAACAACAAGAAAACCCAAGCAUCAAUUUAUUUUAUACUUCUGGGAAAGAAUGCAUUUGACCCAAUUUUUAAAUAUUUAUUUUUUGUUAUUAAUGUUAAAUUUUCUUCCAAAACACAAUUAGAUUUUAAUUCUCUUCAGAAAUGUAUGUAUAAUAUAGCAAGUAAAGUGGCAUAUAAAUCACUUAGAAUUUGGUCAGAAAUCAUAAAGUAUUUAAUAGGCAUUACUAGAAACCAAAUGUAGAUCAAAUACA